AUGAACGCUAGCUACAGGCUUAACACAUGCAAGUCGAGGGGCAGCAUGGUCUUAGCUUGCUAAGGCCGAUGGCGACCGGCGCACGGGUGAGUAACACGUAUCCAACCUGCCGUCUACUCUUGGACAGCCUUCUGAAAGGAAGAUUAAUACAAGAUGGCAUCAUGAGUCCGCAUGUUCACAUGAUUAAAGGUAUUCCGGUAGACGAUGGGGAUGCGUUCCAUUAGAUAGUAGGCGGGGUAACGGCCCACCUAGUCUUCGAUGGAUAGGGGUUCUGAGAGGAAGGUCCCCCACAUUGGAACUGAGACACGGUCCAAACUCCUACGGGAGGCAGCAGUGAGGAAUAUUGGUCAAUGGGCGAGAGCCUGAACCAGCCAAGUAGCGUGAAGGAUGACUGCCCUAUGGGUUGUAAACUUCUUUUAUAAAGGAAUAAAGUCGGGUAUGGAUACCCGUUUGCAUGUACUUUAUGAAUAAGGAUCGGCUAACUCCGUGCCAGCAGCCGCGGUAAUACGGAGGAUCCGAGCGUUAUCCGGAUUUAUUGGGUUUAAAGGGAGCGUAGAUGGAUGUUUAAGUCAGUUGUGAAAGUUUGCGGCUCAACCGUAAAAGUGCAGUUGAUACUGGAUAUCUUGAGUGCAGUUGAGGCAGGCGGAAUUCGUGGUGUAGCGGUGAAAUGCUUAGAUAUCACGAAGAACUCCGAUUGCGAAGGCAGCCUGCUAAGCUGCAACUGACAUUGAGGCUCGAAAGUGUGGGUAUCAAACAGGAUUAGAUACCCUGGUAGUCCACACGGUAAACGAUGAAUACUCGCUGUUUGCGAUAUACUGCAAGCGGCCAAGCGAAAGCGUUAAGUAUUCCACCUGGGGAGUACGCCGGCAACGGUGAAACUCAAAGGAAUUGACGGGGGCCCGCACAAGCGGUGGAGCAUGUGGUUUAAUUCGAAGCAACGCGAAGAACCUUACCAGGUCUUGACAUCCGAUGCAUAGCACAGAGAUGUGUGAAAUCCUUCGGGACAUCGAGACAGGUGGUGCAUGGUUGUCGUCAGCUCGUGUCGUGAGAUGUUGGGUUAAGUCCCGCAACGAGCGCAACCCUUAUCCUCAGUAGCCAGCAGGUCAAGCUGGGCACUCUGUGGAGACUGCCAGGGAUAACCUGGAGGAAGGUGGGGAUGACGUCAAAUCAGCACGGCCCUUACGUCCGGGGCUACACACGUGUUACAAUGGGGGGUACAGAGGGCCGCUACCACGCGAGUGGAUGCCAAUCCCCAAAACCUCUCUCAGUUCGGACUGGAGUCUGCAACCCGACUCCACGAAGCUGGAUUCGCUAGUAAUCGCGCAUCAGCCACGGCGCGGUGAAUACGUUCCCGGGCCUUGUACACACCGCCCGUCAAGCCAUGGGAGCCGGGGGUACCUGAAGUGCGUAACCGCGAGGAGCGCCCUAGGGUAAAACUGGUGACUGGGGCU
rnacentral:rRNA from 1 species